rnacentral:rRNA from 1 species
UGAGGAAUAUUGGUCAAUGGACGAGAGUCUGAACCAGCCAAGUAGCGUGAAGGAUGAAGGUCCUACGGAUUGUAAACUUCUUUUAUAAGGGAAUAAAACCUCCCACGUGUGGGAGCUUGUAUGUACCUUAUGAAUAAGCAUCGGCUAACUCCGUGCCAGCAGCCGCGGUAAUACGGAGGAUGCGAGCGUUAUCCGGAUUUAUUGGGUUUAAAGGGAGCGCAGACGGGUCGUUAAGUCAGCUGUGAAAGUUUGGGGCUCAACCUUAAAAUUGCAGUUGAUACUGGCGUCCUUGAGUGCGGUUGAGGUGUGCGGAAUUCGUGGUGUAGCGGUGAAAUGCUUAGAUAUCACGAAGAACUCCGAUUGCGAAGGCAGCACACUAAGCCGUAACUGACGUUCAUGCUCGAAAGUGUGGGUAUCAAACAG